GCAAGUCGAGGGGUAACGGAAGUAGCUUGCUACUAGACGACGACCGGCGCACGGGUGAGUAACGCGUAUGUAAUCUGCCUUGUACAGAGGGAUAGCCCAGAGAAAUUUGGAUUAAUACCUCAUAGUAUUACCGAAUCGCAUGAUUUGGUAAUUAAAGCUCCGGCGGUACAAGAUGAACAUGCGUGACAUUAGCUAGUUGGUAAGGUAACGGCUUACCAAGGCGACGAUCAUUAGCCGGCCUGAGAGGGUGACC
rnacentral:rRNA from 1 species